CAUAUUUGCCCCGUCAGCGUCUAGUCCUAUCCUUGUUUUUUAAUAGUAUUAUAUGGCCGGCCGGCCACACCCACUGUAAUACAAUACUUCCAAUCUUGUGUUUGUCUCUUCCACACACUUAUCUAAAUUUGCCUUCAAUUUAUAUAUGUUUGAUUUUGGAGAUGAGCUGGUCUUGGAGGGUUUCAGAAUUCCAUGGCUCAUUUGGAUUCAACUUUUAGUUUUAAUUCUUUUGCUUGCCUUCCUCUUUUGCAUCACCAUCAUUGCUUCAGAUCACACUACCGCUGAUUCUUCUUCUACCCUUCAUUCUACUUCUUCUGUUACUCUUAAUACUAACCCCCUUCAAAUCACACGGGCGGUAGAGAACAUUAGUAUUAAAGGGGAGAUACCUACAAGAACAAGCAGAGAGAUAGUGAGAGAGGUAGAAGGGAUUGCAGAAGGGGAGGCUUCAUCACUGUAUUUCCUUCAUCCUUGUUAUUAUUUCAAAUUAGCAAGAGUAGCUUUUCUCAAAUGUUUUGGCCUUGAAUCCGAUAAUCCUGCAACCCAGAAGAAUAGGGGAAAAAAGAAGGAAAGUUGACAAUGUAAACUGCAUAUGUUUUCUUCAUUCUUAUGACGUAGAGGAUUCUCAUCAUUAUUUUUAUGGUACAAUUAAUUUAGUUUCUCAUCAUUCUCUCUGUGUCAAAGUGAGUUUCGAGAUUCAUUUUUGUGGUUGUUUA